rnacentral:tRNA from 1 species
GCCGGGAUGGCGGAACGGCAGACGCAGCGGACUCAAAAUUCGCCGGUGGCAACACCGUGAGGGUUCGAGUCCCUCUCCCGGCACCA